ensembl:piRNA 21ur-4008 ncRNA
UGGAAUUUUCUUGAGAAAGAU